rnacentral:rRNA from 1 species
ACACUCCUGCGGGAGGCAGCAGUGGGGAAUAUUGGACAAUGGGCGCAAGCCUGAUCCAGCCAUGCCGCGUGAGUGAUGAAGGCCCUAGGGUUGUAAAGCUCUUUCACCGGUGAAGAUAAUGACGGUAACCGGAGAAGAAGCCCCGGUUAACUUCGUGCCAGCAGCCGCGGUAAUACGAAGGGGGCUAGCGUUGUUCGGAUUUACUGGGCGUAAAGCGCACGUAGGCGGACUAUUAAGUCAGGGGUGAAAUCCCGGGGCUCAACCCCGGAACUGCCUUUGAUACUGGUAGUCUUGAGUUCGAGAGAGGUGAGUGGAAUUCCGAGUGUAGAGGUGAAAUUCGUAGAUAUUCGGAGGAACACCAGUGGCGAAGGCGGCUCACUGGCUCGAUACUGACGCUGAGGUGCGAAAGCGUGGGGGGCAAACAGGAUUAGAAACCCUAGUAGUCCCAAG